rnacentral:rRNA from 1 species
AUGUUGCAAUUCAAGCACAACACUAAGGUUCACCAUCUUGAAACCAGAGGGACAAAUAUACCAAAGUUUUCCUUCAAUUUUUGUCCAUUUGAUAAUCUACCAAAAAAAGAUACUUUUGCAAAACCACUUCAAGAUAUAAUAGGAGUCAUUAGCCACAUUGGGCCAUUUGAUUAUGCAAGUCAGACGUCUACAAAUAAACUCAGGAAAAUCAAAAUUCGAAACCUAGAUGAACAGACACAAGAAAUACGUCUUUGGGGCCACCAUGGUGAAACAUUUGAUGAAGAAGCUGUACUUAAAAAAUCACAAGAAGGAAUUGUAGUUGGCAUUUUUGCGGGUCUCAUAGCUGGGAGCUUUCUAGGUGCCCUGCAUGCAUCCUCAACGUCUGCGACACAAGUUUACAUUGACUUGGAUACAUCUGUAGUUAAAAACUACCAAACCAGCUAUAAAUGGGAAUCUCCAGCUCGGCGACAACAACUACCUCAGGUUAUGCAUUUAUCUCCUAUUCAAGCAGCAGGGAAAAUGUACACACUUCAACAAAACCAGAUAUGCCCACCUCAAAUUUUCAGGAAGGAGCUACCUACAGCACCAUUGCGAAAGUUAAAUCUAUUGUACCUUCAACUAAAUGGUACUACAAAGGAUGCAAACAUUGUGACAGAGGAUACAACAACAACUCAGAUACUCCAACAUGCCUUUGCACAAAUUCAUCUCCAAAGCCAUUGUACAAGCUACCAAUAA